AGUAGACUAAUUUAGUACGAGAGGAACAGUUGGUCCAGAUAAUUGGUAAAUACGGUUAGCUGACCAGCUAAUGCCGUGAAGCUACCAUCUGUUGGAUUAUGACUGAACGCCUCUAAGUCAGAAUCCAUGCUGGAAAGCAAUGCAACAUUCAAUAAUAAACGAAAACAAAUACAUUGGAAUUCAUCUUCGAUGCACAAAGCUUGAUUAAUUCAGGCGGCGGAAAUCGAUUCAUAAUUUCGAUUAUUAUUGCACAA
rnacentral:rRNA from 1 species